rnacentral:tRNA from 1 species
AUCGGGAUAGCUCAGUUGGUAGAGCAGAGGACUGAAAAUCCUCAUGUCACCAUUAAACUUGCAAUA